rnacentral:rRNA from 1 species
ACUUGAAUUGAAGAGUUUGAUCAUGGCUCAGAUUGAACGCUGGCGGCAGGCUUAACACAUGCAAGUCGAACGGUAGCAGGAGAAAGCUUGCUUUCUUGCUGACGAGUGGCGGACGGGUGAGUAAUGCUUGGGAAUCUGGCUUAUGGAGGGGGAUAACGACGGGAAACUGUCGCUAAUACCGCGUAUUAUCGGAAGAUGAAAGUGCGGGACUGAGAGGCCGCAUGCCAUAGGAUGAGUCCAAGUGGGAUUAGGUAGUUGGUGGGGUAAAGGCCUACCAAGCCAGCGAUCUCUAGCUGGUCUGAGAGGAUGACCAGCCACACUGGAACUGAGACACGGUCCAGACUCCUACGGGAGGCAGCAGUGGGGAAUAUUGCGCAAUGGGGGGAACCCUGACGCAGCCAUGCCGCGUGAAUGAAGAAGGCCUUCGGGUUGUAAAGUUCUUUCGGUAUUGAGGAAGGUUGAUGUGUUAAUAGUACAUCAAAUUGACGUUAAAUACAGAAGAAGCACC